AUGGCCCAUGUUACCCUCAACUUCAACGCGUUCCUAGAGAAAACCAAGCUGAAAGAUGAUGGCAGCAACUAUACGGACUGGGUCCGGAACCUGAGGAUCAUCCUCAUAGCUGCAAAGAAAGAUUAUGUCCUAGAAGCACCGCUAGGUGAAGCACCCAUCCCAGAGAACCAAGACGUUAUGAACGCUUGGAAGUCUCGUGCUGAUGAUUACUCCCUCGUUCAGUGCGGCAUGCUUUAUAGCUUAGAACCGGGGCUCCAAAAGCGUUUUGAGCAACACGGAGCAUAUGAGAUGUUCGAAGAGCUGAAAAUGGUUUUCCAAGCUCAUGCCCGGGUCGAGAGAUAUGAAGUCUCCGACAAGUUCUUCAGUUGUAAGAUGGAGGAAAAUAGUUCUGUCAGGGAGCAC
rnacentral:rRNA from 1 species